rnacentral:rRNA from 1 species
GGGAACAUACCCUUUUCUACGGAAUAGCUCUGGGAAACUGGAAUUAAUACCGUAUACGCCCUACGGGGGAAAGAUUUAUCGGGGAAGGAUUGGCCCGCGUUGGAUUAGCUAGUUGGUGGGGUAAAGGCCUACCAAGGCGACGAUCCAUAGCUGGUCUGAGAGGAUGAUCAGCCACAUUGGGACUGAGACACGGCCCAAACUCCUACGGGAGGCAGCAGUGGGGAAUAUUGGACAAUGGGCGCAAGCCUGAUCCAGCCAUGCCGCGUGAGUGAUGAAGGCCCUAGGGUUGUAAAGCUCUUUCACCGAUGAAGAUAAUGACGGUAGUCGGAGAAGAAGCCCCGGCUAACUUCGUGCCAGCAGCCGCGGUAAUACGAAGGGGGCUAGCGUUGUUCGGAAUUACUGGGCGUAAAGCGCACGUAGGCGGAUAUUUAAGUCAGGGGUGAAAUCCCAGAGCUCAACUCUGGAACUGCCUUUGAUACUGGGUAUCUUGAGUAUGGAAGAGGUAAGUGGAAUUGCGAGU